rnacentral:rRNA from 1 species
GAUCAACCCCAUGUGAAACUCCUUCGACGAGUCGAGUUGUUUGGGAAUGCAGCUCAAAAUGGGUGGUAUAUUUCAUCUAAAGCUAAAUACCGGCCAGAGACCGAUAGCGCACAAGUAGAGUGAUCGAAAGAUGAAAAGCACUUUGGAAAGAGAGUCAAAAAGUACGUGAAAUUGUUGAAAGGGAAGCGCUCGCAACCAGACCUGCCCGCGGCCGAUCAACCGUCCUUCUGGGCGGUGCACUCGGUCGUGAUCAGGCCAGCAUCGGUUCGGGCGGCCGGAUAAAGGCCCUGGGAACGUAGCUCCUUUCGGGGAGUGUUAUAGCCCUGGGUGCAAUGCGGCCAGCCUGGACCGAGGACCGCGCUUCGGCUAGGAUGCUGGCGUAAUGGUUGUGAGCGGCCCGUCUUGAAACACGGACCAAGGAGUCUAACAUCUAUGCGAGUGUUUGGGUGUCAAACCCAUGCGCGUAAUGAAAGUGAACGGAGGUGGGAACCCUUUCGGGGGCGCACCAUCGACCGAUCCAGAUGUCUUCGGAUGGAUUUGAGUACGAGCAUAGCUGUUGGGACCCGAAAGAUGGUGAACUAUGCCAGAAUAGGGUGAAGCCAGAGGAAACUCUGGUGGAGGCUCGCAGCGGUUCUGACGUGCAAAUCGAUCGUCAAAUUUUGGCAUAGGGGCGAAAGACUAAUCGAACCAUU